rnacentral:hammerhead_ribozyme from 1 species
AUCCAGCUGAUGAGUCACAAAUGGAACGAAACAGACGUCCUGGAU